rnacentral:rRNA from 1 species
UACGUAGGGUGCAAGCGUUGUCCGGAAUUAUUGGGCGUAAAGAGCUUGUAGGCGGUUUGUCGCGUCUGCUGUGAAAUUUCGGGGCUCAACCCCGGACUUGCGGUGGGUACGGGCAGACUAGAGUGUGGUAGGGGAGACUGGAAUUCCUGGUGUAGCGGUGAAAUGCGCAGAUAUCAGGAGGAACACCGAUGGCGAAGGCAGGUCUCUGGGCCACUACUGACGCUGAGAAGCGAAAGCGUGGGGAGCGAACAGG